rfam:Tyto alba contig65977, whole genome shotgun sequence.
AGCACUAUUUUUAAACCUGUUGGUGGAAUUUCCUGACCACCACGGGUUACGCUGUAGUGCAAAAGAAUCUCCUGGCUCAUUAGAGCAUAGCUGACCUUGCUCUGUUCAGCUGAUGCUCCUCUGAAGCGAAGGAACAGAA